rnacentral:rRNA from 1 species
AGAGUUUGAUCCUGGCUCAGGAUGAACGCUGGCGGCGUGCUUAACACAUGCAAGUCGAACGCACCUUCGGGUGAGUGGCGGACGGGUGAGUAACGCGUGAGAAUCUGCCCUCAGGAGGGGGAUAACGGCUGGAAACGGCCGCUAAUACCCCAUAUGCCGCGAGGUGAAACGAGUUUUCGCCUGAGGAUGAGCUCGCGUCUGAUUAGCUAGUUGGUGGGGUAAGAGCCUACCAAGGCAUCGAUCAGUAGCUGGUCUGAGAGGAUGAUCAGCCACACUGGGACUGAGACACGGCCCAGACUCCUACGGGAGGCAGCAGUGGGGAAUUUUCCGCAAUGGGCGAAAGCCUGACGGAGCAACGCCGCGUGAGGGAUGAAGGCCUCUGGGCUGUAAACCUCUUUUCUCAAGGAAGAAGAUCUGACGGUACUUGAGGAAUAAGCCACGGCUAAUUCCGUGCCAGCAGCCGCGGUAAUACGGGAGUGGCAAGCGUUAUCCGGAAUUAUUGGGCGUAAAGCGUCCGCAGGCGGUCUUGAAAGUCUGUUGUUAAAGCGUGGAGCUUAACUCCAUUUCAGCAAUGGAAACUAGAAGACUAGAGUGUGGUAGGGGCAGAGGGAAUUCCCGGUGUAGCGGUGAAAUGCGUAGAUAUCGGGAAGAACACCAGUGGCGAAGGCGCUCUGCUGGGCCAUAACUGACGCUCAUGGACGAAAGCCAGGGGAGCGAAAGGGAUUAGAUACCCCUGUAGUCCUGGCCGUAAACGAUGAACACUAGGUGUCGGGGGAAUCGACCCCCUCGGUGUCGUAGCCAACGCGUUAAGUGUUCCGCCUGGGGAGUACGCACGCAAGUGUGAAACUCAAAGGAAUUGACGGGGGCCCGCACAAGCGGUGGAGUAUGUGGUUUAAUUCGAUGCAACGCGAAGAACCUUACCAGGGUUUGACAUCCUGCGAAUCCCUUGGAAACGAGGGAGUGCCUUCGGGAGCGCAGAGACAGGUGGUGCAUGGCUGUCGUCAGCUCGUGUCGUGAGAUGUUGGGUUAAGUCCCGCAACGAGCGCAACCCACGUCUUUAGUUGCCAGCAUUCAGUUGGGCACUCUAGAGAGACCGCCGGUGAUAAACCGGAGGAAGGUGUGGAUGACGUCAAGUCAUCAUGCCCCUUACAUCCUGGGCUACACACGUACUACAAUGCUACGGACAAAGGGCAGCAAACUCGCGAGAGCUAGCAAAUCCCAUAAACCGUGGCUCAGUUCAGAUCGUAGGCUGCAACUCGCCUACGUGAAGGAGGAAUCGCUAGUAAUCGCAGGUCAGCAUACUGCGGUGAAUACGUUCCCGGGCCUUGUACACACCGCCCGUCACACCAUGGAAGUUGGCCACGCCCGAAGUCGUUACUCCAACCCUUGUGGAGGAGGACGCCGAAGGUGGGGCUGAUGA